AAGCAGGGGAAAAAAGAGGCAAACCAUUACACGUCUACAAUAGUUUGCUUAAAGCAUUGGAAUAUCUCCAAUUCAUAGGGUAUUCAGGCACUACAUUCUUCCUCUACAUAACUCCAUCACAAUACUUCCCUUUUCUACAAAGAAGCUGCCACACAAGUUGCUAAAUGUUAAUCCCGUAGCGGUUCAAUUCCAACGAGCCUUUCGAACUAGUACUAUUAGUAAUCGAGUCUAUAGUUACUACCUUACGAAAUUCAGUUUAUACAAAAAGUAAAACCAGCUUAAUCCAAGAGGAUAGCUUAUUCUAUUCUGCCUCGUUUUCAUUUCUUUUUCGUUUCUCCCCCCUCACUCCUGUACUCAGUGCUCUCAAAGCAUCUAAAACAUCCUUCAUCAUUGGCCUUUCUUCUGGUUCCAGAUUCAUGCAGAGGAAUACCAGACGUGUGAUAUCAAAUGCAGUUGGAUGAUCAACUUCUUUGAAGCAUUCAUUAACCAAAUAUUUUUCACUAAGUGAAGCCUCCUUUAAAACUGAAUUUUUCACAAUCACAGGAUUCUCGCGAAAAUUAAAUUUCUUUUUGCUUAUUAGCUCCAGAAGUAGAAGACCAAAUAUAUAAACAUCAGACUUCAUCGUCCGCUCACCUGUAUCGAUCCAGAAAAUAUAAGAACAGAACUGCACUUAGUAAUGAAAAGCAGAUAAAUAAUGUAAACAAUAGUAUACACAUAAUAUAAACAUCAAAUAUGAUGAAGAUUCUCCACAGGGGGGAAGCUAAGAGUCAUAAUUCCUAAUUCAGACUUCUUUUUACUAGCUCUUUUUCUGUUUCAGCAAAAAACAUAAAAACAUAUGAGGGUCAUGGCAGAGUCAGCUGCCGAGCUGAGGAGUUAAUGCCAGGGGCGGAGCUAAAAGCCCGAGUAUUGGUUCGCCGAACCCAGUAUCUUUUGCUCAAAAAAUGUAUUUGUGUUAAAAAAAAUCAUUAAAUAUGUACAAAUAUGAAAUUUAAACCCCAGUUAUCAGUACUUAAAGUCGUCGUUCCAAAAUCCAAACCCCAUAAAAUUGAAUUCGGUUAAUGCACACUAAUGAACAAUGCAUAGAAACAAGGCAUCACAAGACGUCUUCAGUAUAGGAUAUCUAGAUAACAAACAACAAACAACAUCAACUUGUUUGGAAUCUUUUCCUGCACACUUUUGGGAUAAAAGUGGGUGAUGUCAGCAACCACAAAAGAGCUACUAAGUAGCUGGAUGUGCUGUAACGGGAACAAAGAGUUGAAGGAAAUCUGGAGGACCAUUCUAGCAUGUGUUUUACGGCCUAUUUGGAAGGAGAGGAAUCACAGAUGUUUCAAAGGAAAGGCAUCAUCAAAUACAUGUUUCAAAACAGAGAAGUUUAUUUUAGUUUAGAAUUCUGGUAUAACUUGAUUGAUGCAUACAGUGUGGAAAAGAUGAUAGAAUCUACUAGUAGCUUACAGAAGAUCGAGUCAUUGUACUCUAAAGAAUUUAAGUUACGUACACUGACACCAUGAAGGAUUUUUUACACGAUCAGUGAAUUUCAACCUGUGAUAGCAGGUUAAUUACCAUUUUUACCAGAUUACUAAUUAGUGCUUAUCAAGAGAUUUUUCUGUAAUUACCUAAUAAUUGAUUUGAUUGCGUAAAUAUAUUUUACACUGCAGUGCAUGGAACAUACCAUUUCUAUCACAGUUUCAUAACUAACCGUAGGCUCCAACACAUAUUCCAGUUAGAGUUUGUUUUGUCCAACAACUAAACCUAAUUUGCUUAUUACUUGGGUACUAAGGAGAAUAGAACAAGAAAAAAUGCAAAGAAAAAGAAAAAAGUGGCCGGGUUUAAUUGAUGAAACCGACCUCAAAUAAAAAGCGUUGCAUCAUGAAAAAACAUGGACAACUACAAGAAAAUCUUUAAUCUAAAGCAUGAAAACAUCAGAGAUGAUGAGGUCUGAGUAAACAUGCCUGCUACAACCUCUGGAGCUUCCCUGCCAACACGAGCUUUAACAGGAAUUUUACAAUCUUCGCUCACAUGAUUUGAAAAGUGACCAAAGUCAAAUACUUUUAUAUUUACUUCCUGCAAGCCAAAACAAUUUCCAGGUUCCAACAAGCCAGUAAGGUAAUGAUGUGUUAACAUCUUCAAGUAUCUAAGAGAAAUAAAAAGUCGAGAAGACGGCCAAGGGUUCAAACUCAACCUCAUCUAUCAUAAUGCAUGAAGCAGUAACACUGCCAACUGCAACACUCUUUUCAUGCAACCAUGCCAAGAGAUCUGCAAGUUGAGUUGCCACUUUUAUCCGGUCAUCCCACCCAAAGUCAUCUGCGAACGAGGAAAAAAAAACAUAAAGGAUGUGCUAAAACCACACAAAUUUCGCACUGAACAGUCAUUCAACAUAAUAGUCAAGGUAAUAAAUACCAGCCAGAAGCACAUCAGACAAGACUCUGGUGAAUUUUUCAUCAUAGACAGCUGCAAGCCUCGUCUCAUAACAGUACCUAUACAACUUCGACAAAUUUGGAUGCGUAUUUACUCUUUCAUCUGUGAAUAACUCGAUCUCGUCCUACAAAAGAAACCUUGACAUCAUUUUACCCAAAAUAAUAGACAAGAAAUCAAAUUCAGACCAAUCUUGCAAACAUACACAAAAUUUAUGUAGACGUUGAGUAUGCUCGUCUCCCAAAGGAAGGAGAAAAUCCCAUGUCUUUACAAUCGCCGGUCGCUUUUCAGAUCCUUCACCAAUGGUGCCACAAAACAAUCUUCCUGAAAGAGUCUUCUGAAUCAAGCUCUCAGGCUUGAAAUCAGUAAUGUUUUGCAACUCGGAGUAGGUGCAAAGCUUCACCUCACCAACUAUCAUUGGCUCAAUUGAGAACUUGAAGCUGCAUAUUGGCAAACAUACAAGAACAUUCGGAGAAGAAAUAAUAACAUUGUGGAUGUCAAUCAAGUUCAAAAACCAUUUUGAAAAACUGAUUCAAAUGCAAAGAUGUUGUUAUAAGUUCAUACAUCAACAAUAGUGACUAGUUCUUUUUCCUUUUUUGAUAACCAAGAUAUUCCCGAGAGCCGGUGGCGCACGGUUCAAAACUCAACGAAUAAUGGGUGUGCCCCUCUACCUUUCUACACUUAUAUACCAGUACGCUUCGCAACCUUGACGCUCGCCAAACCUGCACAUCACCUGCUGCGCUAUUACCACCAGAACCAAAGUCCUGGUGCUAUCAGUGACUAGUUUUUUAUACUAAACUAUUUAAUACUUAUAUUCAUUGAUAAAGGUUUUCCUUAGCAAUUUAAUAUAUCAUUUUGCAAAUGAUAAUUGCUUGCGAGUCAAAGCAAGAGGGCAAUACAAAAUUGGCAGAUUCACUGCAGCUAAUUUCGGGUGUUAAUUAAGCUCACCUCAAACAAAACUAUAACAACUAUUUAUUAUAUUGGCAGAACCUAACUCUCUCUGAUGAAAAAAAUAAAAUAAAAUAAACCCUAGACAAAAAUUGACAUAAGCACAACACAACCCUAUACUAUUCCUUUAGAAAGAGAGAUAAUGAAAAAACCUUUGGUAAUAGUUGCAUCUUUCAUAGAAAAAGGCUAGCAUUCCGUUAGCGAUGCUGUCGAUGAACAUAGGGUGGCGCCAAUUGGGAGAUUCCUCCUUGUUAAAAAUUUGAAAGUAAUAAGGUGAAAAGUCCCAUUCCUCCAACUUCUUUCGGAUCAUCUCAAACCCCCCACGCUUCUCCUCCUCGUCUCUAAUCUGAACGUCUGUCAUUUUUUUUCUAGGGCACACAACACAAAAGGGGAGAAUGAGGGUUUUGGUGCUGAGCGCUUGAAAUAGAAGGGAAUUUUCUACCCGGCCCGAAUCCGGAUAAUUGAGUACGGAAAACCGAAGGAUUGUAUACAAGGAAAAAAAGAAAGAAGAAUUUUUCCUCUUUUCUCCCGUUCAUUCCGUUCCAAUUCAUGUGAAUAUGUUUGAUUUGACACGUAAUUUAUUAAAAAAAAAAUUAAAAUUUACAGUUCUAAACAAUUAGAAAAUGGGUCCAAAGUAUUUAUAUGGUUAUAAAAACUUUUUAUUAAUGGUAAAAUUAUAAGUUUAAGCAAAAUUAUUUCCAAAUUUAGAAAGGGGGUCAUUCUUUUUGGAACAGACCAAAAAAGAAAUAGGUUCACAUAAAUUGGAACGGAGUUAGUAUUACUUUUCUUUUGGAUAAUAUAGCACUUUUGGUGCAUUAAUUAUUAGUGUUAUUUGUACAUUAUACCCCUUUACAAUUUUAAAAUUAAGAAAAUAAUCUUUUUAGAUUUCUUAUGUGUGAAAACACAUCUCUUAGUAAAAGUAAAUCUCAUACGUAUAAAAAAGAGAGGCAAGGUUAUAAAAUAAAAAAUAAAUUUGUAAAGAACCACAAAACUACCCAUUUGUGCUAUAAUAAUAGUAAAUUCUGAUUUUGGUUUUUAUGAUAUAUGACUAAAUAUAUUUAAUUAAUUAAAUUGUGUAUUUGUUAUCCUUUUAUGUAAGAAAUAUUUAGCUUUUUUUAGAACUAUAUUAUCCUAAAAUAGAGAGUAACAUUAAAAACUUAACAUAACACAUGCAUAAUUAAAUCGAGUUAUAAUUAAUUAAUCGAUAAACUAGCUUUCCUUAAAGGUCAAAUGAAUUGGAUUGAGAUUUAUGAAAGAGUAGAUAAUUUAUUCUCUUAUGUCCAAUAACUUAUGCUAGUGGGAGGGAGCAGUACCCGUUUAAUUAGUCGAAUACGCACAGUGUGGAAACAAAAUAAUUUUGUAAAUUCUUGAAAAUUCAAAAGUCGAGGGAUGAGAAGUAAAAAUUCCAUUGAAUGUUGAAUUUGCUUAGUUCAAUAUCAUCGGGCGGAGCUAGAGUGCCCCGAUCGGAUCACACUAAAUCCGGUAACUUUGGUUCGAACCAUGUAUAUGCAGUGGUGGAACCAAAAUUUACGUUAAGAGUUGUCAAAAUAUAUAAAAGUAAACAUAUAAUAAAAUUAAGUGGAGUCAAUACAUAAUAUAUAUAUAUAUAUAUACAUAUAAUUUUUUUACCUACCUACACAAUUUAUUUUUCUCGCGCAAGGGGUGUGAUUUGACAUAACUUUUUAUAAGGUGGCUCCGCCACUGCUUAUAUGUCUUAAACAAUUAUUUAAAUAUGUAUUAAUUAUUAACGUAGGUCGGGAUUGUGAAUUACAAAUGUCACAAUUGUAUGCCGUUAAUAUGAAUUCAAAUUCUCAAGGCUCAGCUAUACCAAGCACCAAAACCUCUCUUUUUUCCCCCAUUUGGUUCGUUCUCCUUUGUGUGUGUGUGCCCUAGAAAAAACUAAUGACUGACGUUCAGAUGAGAGACGAGGAGGAGAAGAGCGGAGGGUUUGAGAUGAUCCGAAAGAAGUUGGAGGAAUGGGACAUUUUGCCUUACCAGUACCAAAUUUUCAACAAGGAAGAGUCUCCCAACUGGCGCCACCCUUUGUUCACCGAUCGUACCGCUAACGGAAUGCUAGCCUUUUUCUACGAGCAAUGCAACUACUAUCAAAGGUAUUUUCAUUAUCUCUCUUGCUAUUCCUCCUUCAUUACACACACGCACAUCCCCUAUUUUUGUUAGCAAAGUGAGAUAUUAUUAAAUUGCUAAGCUAUCGUUGUUGGCAAAAUGGUAACUAGUAAAGUUGUCUCCAUGUGACCAGGAGUGCACGAGUUCGAGCCAUGUAAACAGCCUCUUGAGGUUGCGUACAAUGUGGUCCAACUUUUCCGCGGAACCCGCGCAUAACAGGAACUUAGUGCAUCGGACUGCCCCGUUGUCCAUGACUCAUAGAUCAUGAGGUGUCUAAGUUCAAAUCCCAGCGGAGGCAAAACACUAGUUGAUUUCUCCCCAUUUGUCCAAGUUUUGGUGGUCAAAGUUAGUUGGUACCCCGUAGAAUUAGUCCCUAGCCCGAAUACCACGGUUAUAAAGAAAAGAAAUGGUUAUCAAUGAAUAUGUUAAUGAUUAGGAAUAUAAAGAUUAAAAUAGUGUUAGUAGUAUAAGAAAACUAGUCACUAAUAGCCCCUAGGGCUUUGGUACUAGUGGUUAGAGCGACACCACGUGAUGUUUUUGGUUAGGCCCAUGUCAUGGGGUUCGAACCCCGCCGUGGACAAAAGCAUGGUACUUAAGUGGAGAAUCCACCGAGUUUCGAACUGUGGGCCUCUGGCGUUGGGGGAUUUCUAGGUUAUCAAAAUAAAAUAAAAAAACUAAUCACUAACAUUGAAUUAGGAAAUUAUAACAACAUUUUUGCAUCUGAAUCAGAUUUAUUAAAUGGUCUUUGAACUUGAUUGACAUGACUUUUAUUUCAUUAAGUUAUACUUUUAUUAAUUCCUCUGCCAAUAUUAUUAUCGUUUGUAUUUAGAGUUAUUUUUCUUGCAUCAUAUAUUUUCUCACUAUAGCAUUAAAGUGCAUUUGCUUCAAGCCCCUAAGACCUUGAUACCUUUUUUAUUAAAAUUAAAUUCUACCUGCUCUGAAUUUGUCGAUGUCCCAUUUCACUUGACCAGUUAAGAAGCUAGACAUCCACAAUCUUAUUCUUUCUGCUCUGAGUGAUCUUCUCUGGUUGCCGAAAUGCAGCUUCAAGUUCUCACUUGAGCCCAUGAUAGUUGAUGAGGUGAAGCUUUGCAGCUACUCUGAGUUGCAAGACAUUACUGAUUUCAAGGCUGAGAGCUUGAUUCAGAAGACUCUUUCAGGAAGAUUGUUUCGUGGCACCAUUGGUGAAGGAUCUGAAAAACGACCGGCGAUUGUAAAGACAUGGGAUUUUCUCCUUCCUUGGGGGGAUGAGCAUGCCCAACGCCUACAUAAAUUUUGUGUAUGUUUGCCAGAUACGUCUGAAUUUGAUUUCCUGUCUAUUAUUUUGAGUUAAAUGAUGUCAAGAGUUCUUUUUGUAGGACGAGAUCGAGUUAUUCACAGAUGAAAGAGCAAAUACGCAUCCAAAUUUGUUGAAGUUGUAUAGGUACUGUUAUGAGAUGAGGCUUGCAGCUGUCUAUGAUGAAAAAUUCACGAGAGUCUUGUCUGAUGUGCUUCUGGCUGGUAUUUAUUACCUCGACUAUUAUGUUGAAUGACUGUUCAGUCCGAAUUUUCUGUGUUUUUUUAUGAUUUCUUUUUCUCGUUCGCAGAUGACUUUGGAUGGGAUGACCGGAUAAAAGUGGCAACUCAACUUGCCGAUCUCUUGGCAUGGUUGCAUGAAAAGAUAGUUGCUGUUGGCAGUGUUAUUGCUUCAUGCAUUAUGAUAGAUGAGGUUGAGUUUGAACCCUUGGUCGUCUUCUCGCACUUUUUAUUUCUCUUAGAUAUUUGAAGAUUCUAACACGUCAUUACCUUACUGGCUUGCUGGAACCUGGACAUUGUUUUGGCUUGCAGGAAGUAAAUAUAAAAGUAUUCGACUUUGGUCACUUUUCAAAUCAUGUGAGCGACGAUUGUAAAAUUCCUGUUAAAUAUCUUGUCGGCAGGGAAGCUCCAGAGGUUUGGGCAGGCAUGUUCUCUCAUACUUCAUCAUCUCUGAUGUGUUCAUGCCCUAGAUUAAAGAUUUUCUUUUGGUUGUCUAUGUAUUGCAUGAUGCAACACUUUUUAUUUGAGGUUUAGGUUUCAUCAAUCAAAACCCUCCACUUUUUCCCUUUCUUUGCAUUUUUUUCCCUUUUUCUAUUAUCCUCAUUACCCUUGUAAUGAACAAGCUAGGUUUAGUUGUUAGACAAGACAUUCUAGUUAUGUGUCAGAGCCUAUGGUUAGCUAUGAAACUUUGAUAGAAAUGAUAAGUUCUAUGCAUUGCAGUGUAAAAGAUAGUUACACAGUCAGAUCACUUAUUAGGUAAUUACAGGUAAAUCUCUUGAUAAGUACUACUUAGUAAUCUGGUAAAAACGGUAACUAACAUGUUACCACAUGUUAAAAUUCAUCGGUCGUCUUUAUGCUGUUAGUAUAUAGAAUUUAAAUUCUUUCAUAGUUUCUAUCACCUUUUCCCCAUUGUAUGCAUCAAUCAAAUUAUACUAGAAUUCUAAAUUAGAUAAACUUCUAUGUUUUGAAACAUGUAUUGAUGAUGUCUUCCCUUCGAAACUUCUGUGAUUGCUCUCCUUCCAUAAAGUCCAUAAAACACAUGCUAGAAUGGUCCUCCAGAUUUUCUUCAACUCUUUGUUCCCUUUGCAGCACAACCAGCUACUUAGUAGCUCUUUUGUGGUUGAUGAGGUCGCCACUUUAUCACAAAAAUGUACAGGAAAAUAUUCCAAAUCUUUCCAGUAACUGCAAUGCAAAAAUUGUACAAGAAAAAAUUCCAAAUCUCUCGUACAAGUUGGUAUUGUUUGUAGUUUCUUAUCUAGGUAUCCUGGAUCAUAUUAAUUUCUGAUAAUCUUUGUUGCUCGGACUGGGGUGCGGGUAUUCGAUACGGGUGUUGAUCUAGAGAACGGAUUCUUCAUCACAUAACUUUAGGAUUCGAGGGUAUGGAUCAGACUAUGGAUACGGGUGCCAGGAUACGGACAAUAAAUGUAUAUUACGACGCAUAUAAGUAUAUAUUCGAGUACCUAAAGUUAUUGAUACAAUAACGACAAACCCAGUGGAAUUCUACAAAGUUAUUGAUAAAACUAAUAAAAUUUAAUUCUUUAAAAACACCUAAUAUUAAUUCAUAAGAUAUCUCAUGUAAUAGCAAAAAGCUCUUUUACUUUAUAUAACUAUAUAUAUGACAUAAAACUGCAAAAUCAAAUCGACUAUCCAAUCAUCAAUACUUCUCGGUCAUAGCACCCACGGUGAGUUGAGUGAGUUGACCAAAUCCUGGGAUAUUCCACACCCUGCAGCAAGGAUUUGAAGAGUCCAAGCAACAUAGAUAACUAUUUCUACUGAAGAGGUCUUGUGCCUUGUUCCUAUAUAUUGUUCAUUAGCGUGCAUAAACUCCUCAGUUCAGCAGCUGACUCUGCCAAUAACUCUCAUAUUUUUAUGUUUUUGGUUGAAACAGAAAAGAGCUAGUGAAAAGAAGUCUGAAUUUAGAAUUAUGACUUUUGAGCGUUCUCCCGUGGAGAAUUUUCAUUAUAUUUGAUGUUUCUAUUAUAUGCAUAAUAUUUUUUACAUAAUUUAUCUGCUUUUCUCUACUAAGUGAAGUUCUGUUCUUAUAUUUUCUGGAUCGAUACAGGUAAGCGGACGAUGAAAUCUGAUGUUUAUAUAUUUGGUCUUCUACUUCUGGAGCUGAUAAGCAAAAAGAAGUUCAAUUUUCGCAAGAAUCCUGUGAGUGUGAAAAAUUCAGUUGUAAAGGAGGCUAAACUUUGUGAAAAAUAUUUGGUUCAUGAAUGUUUCAAAGAAGUUGAUCAUCCAACUGCACUUGAUAUUGUUGAGGUUUUAUUUUAAGAUGUAAUAUUCUU
rnacentral:lncRNA from 1 species